AGUGGAAACAGAACAACUCCGGGCCGGCGGGUUGGCAAAGGAGAAGAGAACAAAAGAGGAAUAACACCAGCGUGGAAGAGAGGGAGGGAGGGAGGGUCAGAGAGAGAGACACAAAGUACACACAGUAGAGAGAGAGAGAUAGAGAGAGAGAGCAAACACAGGAGCCAGAGAGACGGCUGAGAAGUUCAGUCCGACAAAAUGCUGAGGAGGAGGAGAAGCGUGUCAUUCGGUGGCUUCGGAUGGAUUGACAAGUCCACUUUGUCUGCACUAAAAGCACGUGCUGCUGAGGGCGAAUGAAUAUUACAAGUGGACCGACGGGGAGAAUAGAGGAGAGGAUGAAACGCAGGCAGAGCGACAGAGGGAGGGCGAGAGGUUGCGCCUGAUCGGCUUCCCAUCAGAGCGACGAUGCCCCGCAAACUGUGGUGAGUAACCG
ensembl:lncRNA